rnacentral:rRNA from 1 species
AUUCGAUUAGAGUUUGAUUAUGGCUCNNNACGAACGCUGGCGGCGUGCUUAAGACAUGCAAGUCGUACGAGAAAGUCUCUUCGGAGAUGAGUAAAGUGGCGCACGGGUGAGUAACGCGUGGGUAAUCUGCCCUUAGGUUUGGGAUAACCCCGGGAAACCGGAGCUAAUACCGAAUGAGACCACGAUGACUUCGGUCGAUGUGGGAAAAGGUGGCCUCUUCUUGAAAGCUAUCGCCAAAGGAUGAGCCCGCGUUUGAUUAGCUAGUUGGUGAGGUAAUGGCUCACCAAGGCGACGAUCAAUAGCUGGUCUGAGAGGAUGAUCAGCCACACUGGAACUGAGAUACGGUCCAGACUCCUACGGGAGGCAGCAGUCAGGAAUAUUGGGCAAUGGGCGAAAGCCUGACCCAGCAACGCCGCGUGAAGGAUGAAGGCCUUCGGGUCGUAAACUUCUGUCGAGAGGGAAGAAUGCGUACGGGUGAAUAAUCCGUGCGUUUGACGGUACCUCCAAAGGAAGCACCGGCUAACUCCGUGCCAGCAGCCGCGGUAAUACGGAGGGUGCAAGCGUUGUUCGGAUUCAUUGGGCGUAAAGCGAGUGUAGGCGGUUUGACAAGUCGGAUGUGAAAUCCCGGGGCCCAACCCCGGAACUGCAUCCGAUACUGUCUGGCUAGAGUCCCGG